rnacentral:rRNA from 1 species
UACGUAGGGCGCAAGCGUUGUCCGGAAUUAUUGGGCGUAAAGAGCUCGUAGGCUGCUUGUCAUGUCGGGUGUGAAAGCCCGGGGCUUAACCCCGGGUCUGCAUUCGAUACGGGCUAGCUAGAGUGUGGUAGGGGAGAUCGGAAUUCCUGGUGUAGCGGUGAAAUGCGCAGAUAUCAGGAGGAACACCGGUGGCGAAGGCGGAUCUCUGGGCCAUUACUGACGCUGAGGAGCGAAAGCGUGGGGAGCGAACAGG